rnacentral:rRNA from 1 species
UGGGGAAUAUUGCACAAUGGGCGCAAGCCCGAUGCAGCCAUGCCGCGUGUAUGAAGAAGGCCUUCGGGUUGUAAAGUACUUUCAGCGGGGAGGAAGGGAGUAAAGUUAAUACCUUUGCUCAUUGACGUUACCCGCAGAAGAAGCACCGGCUAACUCCGUGCCAGCAGCCGCGGUAAUACGGAGGGUGCAAGCGUUAAUCGGAAUUACUGGGCGUAAAGCGCACGCAGGCGGUUGAUUGAGUCAGAUGUGAAAUCCCCGGGCUUAACCCGGGAAUUGCAUCUGAUACUGGUCAGCUAGAGUCUUGUAGAGGGGGGUAGAAUUCCAUGUGUAGCGGUGAAGUGCGUAGAGAUGUGGAGGAAUACCGGUGGCGAAGGCGGCCCCCUGGACAAAGACUGACGCUCAGGUGCGAAAGCGUGGGGAGCAAACAGG